UACAGAGAGUGCAAGCGUUAAUCAGAAUUACUGGGCGUAAAGCGCACGUAGGUGGAUAUUUAAGUCGGAUGUGAAAUCCCCGGGCUUAACCUGGGAAUUGCAUCCGAUACUGGGUAUCUUGAGUAUGGUAGAGGGAAGUGGAAUUUCCGGUGUAGCGGUGAAAUGCGUAGAUAUCGGAAGGAACACCAGUGGCGAAGGCGGCUUCCUGGACCAAUACUGACACUGAGGUGCGAAAGCGUGGGGAGCAAACAGG
rnacentral:rRNA from 1 species